AGAGGAAGGUUAUAAAGGGUCCCUCAAAGGGCAACCUUUGAGAGAAAAUUGGGUGAAUUGCUGGGAACUCCUAAAGCUUUGCUUCCUACAACAGAACCUGAAAAGGUAUAUGUGAAAGGCCAAAAAAAGCAAAGAUAGAACAAUGGACAAUCAGCAGCCAAGCUCCUGUUCCGAAAGGAUGGAGAAGGUUCAACGACUAGGAUGUACCACCUAAGCAAUUUAUAAUUAAAAAUUGUAUGGUGAUGAGAUCCAUAGGGAAGAGGUAUCCCGAAGUGCCCAACAACCGUUUUGAUUCAAUAUAAUAUAUAAAUAUAAUAUAUCAUUGAUAACGGUUGAAGAUAUAGUCUGGCAAUUAUUGAAAGAUAAUU
rnacentral:ncRNA from 1 species